UGAUAAUUGACAACUUAUACAAAUAAAAUCGAUUUCAAUGUUGAAAUGUCUAGUCUGCUGCUUGCCAACUUGGACAGAUGUUUCACAAAUGGUUACAGUGCAUUCACCUCUCUGAGGAAAUGUUAACUUUUCCACUGACUGUUUAUUUCACUUGGAUUUCCGUCUUAGCCGAAUAUAAAUCUACAACUAUAUGUGAAAAUACCGAACUGAAGCUUCAUUGCAAAGAGCCCAAACUUCUCAAUAUCUAUUCAGCUGUGUAUGGAAGUUUUGCCUAUGAAAAGAAUACGUGUCCUGCAGAAACAGACCGGCGAUCUCCCUAUG